GUCAGAAUGGCCGAGCGGUCUAAGGCGUCAGAUUCAAGAAAAAAUCCUGCUCUGAUGCAGAGUGCUGAGGGUUCUGGUCUACGAAUGUGGGCGUGGGUUCGAAUCCCACUUCUGACA